rnacentral:rRNA from 1 species
UUAAAUUGAAGAGUUUGAUCAUGGCUCAGAUUGAACGCUGGCGGCAGGCCUAACACAUGCAAGUCGAACGGUAACAGGAAGCAGCUUGCUGCUUUGCUGACGAGUGGCGGACGGGUGAGUAAUGUCUGGGAAACUGCCUGAUGGAGGGGGAUAACUACUGGAAACGGUGGCUAAUACCGCAUAACGUCGCAAGACCAAAGAGGGGGACCUUCGGGCCUCUUGCCAUCAGAUGUGCCCAGAUGGGAUUAGCUAGUUGGUGAGGUAACGGCUCACCAAGGCGACGAUCCCUAGCUGGUCUGAGAGGAUGACCAGCCACACUGGAACUGAGACACGGUCCAGACUCCUACGGGAGGCAGCAGUGGGGAAUAUUGCACAAUGGGCGCAAGCCUGAUGCAGCCAUGCCGCGUGUAUGAAGAAGGCCUUCGGGUUGUAAAGUACUUUCAGCGGGGAGGAAGGUGUUGUGGUUAAUAACCGCAGCAAUUGACGUUACCCGCAGAAGAAGCACCGGCUAACUCCGUGCCAGCAGCCGCGGUAAUACGGAGGGUGCAAGCGUUAAUCGGAAUUACUGGGCGUAAAGCGCACGCAGGCGGUCUGUCAAGUCGGAUGUGAAAUCCCCGGGCUCAACCUGGGAACUGCAUUCGAAACUGGCAGGCUUGAGUCUUGUAGAGGGGGGUAGAAUUCCAGGUGUAGCGGUGAAAUGCGUAGAGAUCUGGAGGAAUACCGGUGGCGAAGGCGGCCCCCUGGACAAAGACUGACGCUCAGGUGCGAAAGCGUGGGGAGCAAACAGGAUUAGAUACCCUGGUAGUCCACGCCGUAAACGAUGUCUACUUGGAGGUUGUGCCCUUGAGGCGUGGCUUCCGGAGCUAACGCGUUAAGUAGACCGCCUGGGGAGUACGGCCGCAAGGUUAAAACUCAAAUGAAUUGACGGGGGCCCGCACAAGCGGUGGAGCAUGUGGUUUAAUUCGAUGCAACGCGAAGAACCUUACCUGGUCUUGACAUCCACGGAAGUUUUCAGAGAUGAGAAUGUGCCUUCGGGAACCGUGAGACAGGUGCUGCAUGGCUGUCGUCAGCUCGUGUUGUGAAAUGUUGGGUUAAGUCCCGCAACGAGCGCAACCCUUAUCCUUUGUUGCCAGCGGUUAGGCCGGGAACUCAAAGGAGACUGCCAGUGAUAAACUGGAGGAAGGUGGGGAUGACGUCAAGUCAUCAUGGCCCUUACGACCAGGGCUACACACGUGCUACAAUGGCGCAUACAAAGAGAAGCGACCUCGCGAGAGCAAGCGGACCUCAUAAAGUGCGUCGUAGUCCGGAUUGGAGUCUGCAACUCGACUCCAUGAAGUCGGAAUCGCUAGUAAUCGUGGAUCAGAAUGCCACGGUGAAUACGUUCCCGGGCCUUGUACACACCGCCCGUCACACCAUGGGAGUGGGUUGCAAAAGAAGUAGGUAGCUUAACCUUCGGGAGGGCGCUUACCACUUUGUGAUUCAUGACUGGGGUGAAGUCGUAACAAGGUAACCGUAGGGGAACCUGCGGUUGGAUCACCUCCUUACCUUAAAGAAGC